CACGUAGGGCGCAAGCGUUGUCCGGAAUUAUUGGGCGUAAAGAGCUCGUAGGCGGUCUGUUGCGUCCGCUGUGAAAACUCGGGGCUUAACCCCGAGCCUGCAGUGGAUACGGGCAGACUAGAGGUAGGUAGGGGAGAAUGGAAUUCCCGGUGUAGCGGUGAAAUGCGCAGAUAUCGGGAGGAACACCAAUAGCGAAGGCAGCUCGCUGGGACGGUAUUGACGCUAAGGCGCGAAAGCGUGGGGAGCAAACAGG
rnacentral:rRNA from 1 species